rnacentral:rRNA from 1 species
UUCCGUAGGUGAACCUGCGGAAGGAUCAUUACAGAGUUCAUGCCCGAAAGGGUAGACCUCCCACCCUUGUGUAUUAUUACUUUGUUGCUUUGGCGAGCUGCCUUCGGGCCUUGUAUGCUCGCCAGAGAAUACCAAAACUCUUUUUAUUAAUGUCGUCUGAGUACUAUAUAAUAGUUAAAACUUUCAACAACGGAUCUCUUGGUUCUGGCAUCGAUGAAGAACGCAGCGAAAUGCGAUAAGUAAUGUGAAUUGCAGAAUUCAGUGAAUCAUCGAAUCUUUGAACGCACAUUGCGCCCCUUGGUAUUCCGGGGGGCAUGCCUGUUCGAGCGUCAUUUCAACCCUCAAGCUUAGCUUGGUAUUGAGUCUAUGUCAGUAAUGGCAGGCUCUAAAAUCAGUGGCGGCGCCGCUGGGUCCUGAACGUAGUAAUAUCUCUCGUUACAGGUUCUCGGUGUGCUUCUGCCAAAACCCAAAUUUUUCUAUGGUUGACCUCGGAUCAGGUAGGGAUACCCGCUGAACUUAAGCAUAUCAAUAAGCGGAGGA